UACCCGCAGCACAAGUGGUGGUCAUUAUUAUUGGGCCUAAAGCGUCCGUAGCUGGCUUGUUAGAUGCCUGGGUAAAUCGAAGCGCUCAACGUUUCGAAUUCCGGGUAGACCGGCAAGCUCGAGACCGGGAGAGGUGUAGGCUACUCGAGGGGUAGGGGUAAAAUCCUGUAAUCCUUCGGGGAGGACCAGUGGCGAAGGCGCUACACUAGAACGGCUCUGACAGUGAGGGACGAAGCCCUGGGGCGCAAACCGG
rnacentral:rRNA from 1 species